AGCUCCAAUAGCGUAUAUCAAAGUUGUUGCAGUUAAAAAGCUCGUAGUUGGAUCUCGGGAGCAGGCGUGCGGUCCGCCUCGCGGCGGUAUCACUGCGCGCUCCUGCCCUACAUCUGCCGGACGUCCCCCGGUGCCCUUCGCUGGGUGCCGGGGGUGGCCGGGACGUUUACUUUGAAAAAAUUAGAGUGUUCAAAGCAGGCAUUUCGCCCUGAAUAAUGGUGCAUGGAAUAAUGGAAUAGGACCUCGGUUCUAUUUUGUUGGUUUCCGGAGCUCGAGGUAAUGAUUAAGAGGGACGGCCGGGGGCAUUUGUAUUGCGGCGUUAGAGGUGAAAUUCUUGGAUUGCGUUACGACGAACUACUGCGAAAGCAUUUGCCAAGGAUGUUUUCA
rnacentral:rRNA from 1 species